AAAUACAUUAUUCUGUUUUUCAGUUUCUCUGCUUUCCUCCUCUCUGCGGCUCUGCCUGUUUCCUUUGAAUUUCUUAAAUUGUUUUCUCAGAUCUCAUCUCUUUGUAUGUCGAUUCUCUAGAUCUAUAGAAUAUCGAAAGUUUGAUACAACUUUUAAAAGAUUUCAUUAGGUUCUCCCUUUUCAGAUCUGGUUUUCCAAGUCGUUUUUCCGUUGAAAUUCUCAGUUUUUCCUCGAUUUAUAUUUCUUAAAGAACGAUUUUAGAUUGUUUGUGGUCUCUCUCGUUUUUGGUUUUGCAGGUGAUUUGAUGGCGAGGAUUCUAUCAAUUAAGAUGGGCAGUUCUGUUCAUAUGUUUCUUUGGUGUAGAAGUUGGAUCUUGGUUUCAGAUGAGAAAGCAGAGGUGAAUCGGUACGGUGUAUAAUCAGAAAUUGUUCAUUCAUGAUGUAAAGAGAAAGAUCCAGAGGCUUGCUGAUUUGUUGAUUGAUUGAUGAUAGAUUGGUGAGGAUUUGAGGUUAAAAGAUGAGAUGUGAAAGAGAUCGAUGCAAAAUCUCUAUGUACAGAGUAUUGUGUGUCGGAUCUUCUUUGUCAUCCCGACCUUUGCCAUGACAGGUGCGCUUGCUUGGCAGGUCAACCAAACCCUAAUAAAAAAAAUUGAUUUGUGGUUUUUGCAGGGGAGUUCGUACGGGGUCUUUUUUGCCCGGGUUCUCCCUUGUUGUUUGUCUGUGGUGUCGAUCUUUUGCUACGAUACUUAAAUUGUCUCAACAAUAACGAUUAUCCAAUCCCACCGGUGAUGAGUCACAAGGAAUUUCACAGCAACGCUGCAGUUUCAGCUCAAGCAAGUUUGUGGGAGUCAUGCUGAAACAAGGGAAGAAUUGUAGCCCUGUGGGUAAUUGAACAUUGCAAGUCUUAUGUACUUUGAAAGGUUGAUCCGUUGUUGAAGCUUGAAGCAUUUGUUGAUUAUAAGCACUUGAAGCUGGGUGGUUUCAGUUAUAAUAUUCUGUUAGCUUUGAAUAGAAUAUUAUUAUUCGAGUAUCUUUCAGGAGCAGGCUUGGAACUAGUGGUAUAAUGUUAUCAAAAGUUUGUGUGUUUGUAUAUUAUUAUUGUUCUUGAACAGAUAAGAAUGUGUCAAUCAAUGGCAACUGCUGGAAGCUAGUUGGCAUCUCAUCCAAAAGUGUCACUAAUCUGGUAUCUGUUGAACUGCCUGAAGUUCAAGUGCUGUGGAGUGUUGGCUGGUAUACCUCUGCUCUUGUGCAGACUUAUGUUCUUGUUCUUGUAUUGCUGGCAGACCAAUUCAUGUAUCAAUUGGUCUGGUAAAGGCUGGUAAACAAGGUUAAAAUUUUGCAAGUGGUCUUGAUUAGAAGUUUGUGCUUUUGGUAAUUUACCUGGAUAUAGAGAAUUUGUUUUUUUUGCUUGUGAAGGUUCUGCUCAAGUAUUUUUAUGUUCUGGCUGUUUUUGAUUUCUAAAACAUUAGACUACCUUUGAAGUAAUAGCUAUUACGCUAUUAGUUAUUACAAAUUGUUAACAAAAUUUCUUGGAUGGAUUUUGCAGUGGCUCGUUAAUCAGCUAAACAGCUGACUGUUAUGUCUAUUUUUUGGGCUUACAUAAAAUUAAUUUAUCAGCUAAACGGACGAUUGUCAUCUCGAUUUUUUGGGCUUACAUAAAAUUUACUAUUGAGGAUGAUGGUUCGAAUCCAUCCGAGUCCGUCCAUGCUACUGUGGCUCCUAGGCUUUCUUUGGUUACUGUUUGCAGGAGCAGUUAAGGAAGCUGGAAAUACAUGUCAGGCAGGUAAGGCAAGGGGGGCAAACAAAGACUCGACUCGAGUCACUUUCCUUCCACUGCGUUUAAACGGAUCUUUAAUAGCUAAAUAUCUUUAUGGGCUUACAUGGUUACAUGUCUAUUAUUAAUCUUUAACAAUAUUUGGAUGGAUUUUGCAGUAGCUCGUUUACUAUCAGCCAAUUUGGUUAGUCUGGACUCAGAAGCUCAAAAUGGUGAAGAGUUCAAAAGGCUUAAAAUGGUGAAGAGUUCAAAAGGCUUGAAGAGGAUAAUGGUUCGAAUCCAUCAGAGUCUUUGUGGCUCUUAGGCUUGGUCUGAUUAUUGUUUGCAGGAGCAGUCUAGGAAGCCAGAAAUCCUUGGGCCGGCCCGUAAUAAACAAAUAUUUUAGCAAACAAGGAUUUGCAGGAGCAGUCUAGGAAGCCAGAAAUACUCCGGCAGGUCGGUAAUAAACAAAUAUUUUGGCAAACAAAGACUUGAGUCACUCGACCUUUCACUGCAUCGAACCAUGCCUCUUCCUGUCUCUUUCAAUCCAAUGCAACCAAAGGCUUUGACCUUUGACUACCUACAAAUGGAGGUAAUACAAGAUGGCAGAGGUUUUCCAUUUUCCCAAUGGGUUGCCCCUAAAUUGGGAGGCUAAAUAAAACAUGUAGGAAUGGAAACCCACUGGCUUGCGCCUCGUCUCGCAAUAAACUUUU